rnacentral:lncRNA from 1 species
UUUUGCUGUUUACAGUUUAUCUUUAUCUAUAAUAAUAUUCAAGAUAAUGACCAAAAACUGCAAAAUUUCCUAAAAAAUUACCAAUUAAGUGGCAGCAACCCAACAAUUGGAUGUUUGAUUCAUCUGAAAAUUUCAGGGCUGAUAGAUAUUGACCUAAUGAACAUUUUUACUCCAUGUCAGAUUUGCUCUUAAUGCUUUCGUUUUUGAGAUAUAAGCCAAAAACUGCAUUUGACCCCUAUGUUCUAUUUUAAGUAACGGCGGCCAUGUUUUUUGACGGAUCAAAAAUCAAAGCACACACAUUGUGCAGGAUAAUCUAAGGAACAAUCAUGCUAAGUUUUAACCAAAUCCAUUCAGUAGUUUCAGAGGAGAAGAUUUUUUAAAGUUAGCAAAUAUGAUGAACAAAUUGUGAAAAAUUGUCAUUAAAGGACAAUAACCUCUUAAGGGGUCAAUUGACAAUUUUGGUCAUAUUAACUUAUUUGUAGAUCUUACUUUGCUGAUCUUUUUUGCUGUUUACAGUUUAUCUUUAUCUAUAAUAAUAUUCAAGAUAAUGACCAAAAACUGCAAAAUUUCCUUAAAAUUACCAAUUAAGUGGCAGCAACCCAACAAUGGUUUGUUUGAUUCAUCUGAAAAUUUCAGGCUGAUAGAUCUUGACCUAAUGAACAUGUUUACCCCUGUCAGAUUUGCUCUAAAUGCUUUCGUUUUUG